rnacentral:rRNA from 1 species
GACAGAGGAUGCAAGCGUUAUCCGGAAUCACUGGGCGUAAAGCGUCUGUAGGUGGUUCGAAAAGUCCACUGUUAAAAAUUGAGGCUUAACUUCAAAGAUGCCGUGGAAACUUUCAAACUAGAGUAUGGUAGGGGUAGAGGGAAUUUCCGGUGGAGCGGUGAAAUGCGUAGAGAUCGGAAAGAACACCAACGGCGAAAGCACUCUGCUGGGCCGACACUGACACUGAGAGACGAAAGCUAGGGGAGCGAAUGGG